ensembl:snRNA U1 U1 spliceosomal RNA
AGUUUAACCUGGCAGGGGAGAUACCAUGAUCACGAAGGUGGUUUUCCCAGGGUGAGGCUUCCAUUCAUUAUACUCUGAAUGUGCUGACCCCUGCGAUUUCCCCAAAUGAGGGAAACUCAAGUGCAUAGUUUGUGAUAGUGGGGGACUGUGUUUGCGCUUUCUCCUG